rnacentral:rRNA from 1 species
AUGAACGCUAGCGGCAGGCUUAACACAUGCAAGUCGAGGGGUAACAUUGUAGCUUGCUACAGAUGACGACCGGCGCACGGGUGCGUAACGCGUAUAGAACCUACCUUUUACAGAGGGAUAGCCUUUAGAAAUGAAGAUUAAUACCUUAUAGUAUUGAGACUUGGCAUCAAGUUUUAAUUAAAGAUUUAUCGGUAAAAGAUGGCUAUGCGUCCUAUUAGUUAGUUGGUAAGGUAACGGCUUACCAAGACAUCGAUAGGUAGGGGUCCUGAGAGGGAGAUCCCCCACACUGGUACUGAGACACGGACCAGACUCCUACGGGAGGCAGCAGUGAGGAAUAUUGGACAAUGGAGGCAACUCUGAUCCAGCCAUGCCGCGUGUAGGAAGAAUGCCCUAUGGGUUGUAAACUACUUUUAUACAGGAAGAAACACUGGUAUGUAUACCAGCUUGACGGUACUGUAAGAAUAAGGACCGGCUAACUCCGUGCCAGCAGCCGCGGUAAUACGGAGGGUCCGAGCGUUAUCCGGAAUCAUUGGGUUUAAAGGGUCCGCAGGCGGUCUAUUAAGUCAGAGGUGAAAUCCCAUAGCUCAACUAUGGAACUGCCUUUGAUACUGGUUGACUUGAGUCAUAUGGAAGUGGAUAGAAUGUGUAGUGUAGCGGUGAAAUGCAUAGAUAUUACACAGAAUACCGAUUGCGAAGGCAGUCCACUACGUAUGUACUGACGCUGAGGGACGAAAGCGUGGGGAGCGAACAGGAUUAGAUACCCUGGUAGUCCACGCCGUAAACGAUGGAUACUAGUUGUUGGGAUUUAUCUCAGUGACUAAGCGAAAGUGAUAAGUAUCCCACCUGGGGAGUACGGUCGCAAGACUGAAACUCAAAGGAAUUGACGGGGGCCCGCACAAGCGGUGGAGCAUGUGGUUUAAUUCGAUGAUACGCGAGGAACCUUACCAGGGCUUAAAUGUAGUCUGACAGCUUUAGAGAUAGAGUUUUCUUCGGACAGAUUACAAGGUGCUGCAUGGUUGUCGUCAGCUCGUGCCGUGAGGUGUCAGGUUAAGUCCUAUAACGAGCGCAACCCCUGUCGUUAGUUGCCAGCAUGUAAAGAUGGGGACUCUAACGAGACUGCCUACGCAAGUAGAGAGGAAGGUGGGGAUGACGUCAAAUCAUCACGGCCCUUACGUCCUGGGCCACACACGUGCUACAAUGGUAUGGACAAUGAGCAGCCAUCUGGCAACAGAGAGCGAAUCUACAAACCAUAUCACAGUUCGGAUCGGAGUCUGCAACUCGACUCCGUGAGGCUGGAAUCGCUAGUAAUCGGAUAUCAGCCAUGAUCCGGUGAAUACGUUCCCGGGCCUUGUACACACCGC